CAUUUUGCAAUACUCGGACUGAAGAUAAGAGAGAAGUAGAGAGAAAGCGAGAGAAAAAAAGAGAAAGAGUGAGAAGAAAGUGGAUAUUUUGUCUUUUUUAUUUUAUUUUUGGAGAUGACAAUAGGGUUAAAAUGGUCAUAGAAAUAAUGAGCUAAAUAUUAAAUUUUGGUAGUCAUAAACUUAGUAAAAAUUUUAUCUGAUCCUAUGAAGCGUAG
rnacentral:lncRNA from 1 species